UACGUAGGGCGCAAGCGUUAUCCGGAAUUAUUGGGCGUAAAGGGCUCGUAGGCGGUCUGUCGCGUCGGGAGUGAAAACUCAGGGCUUAACCCUGAGCCUGCUUCCGAUACGGGCAGACUAGAGGUAUGCAGGGGAGAACGGAAUUCCUGGUGUAGCGGUGAAAUGCGCAGAUAUCAGGAGGAACACCGGUGGCGAAGGCGGUUCUCUGGGAAUAUCCUGACGCUGAGGAGCGAAAGUGUGGGGAGCGAACAGG
rnacentral:rRNA from 1 species